rnacentral:rRNA from 1 species
GGAUAACUACCCUUAGGACCGGGAUAACCCUGGGAAACUGGGGAUAAUACUGGAUAGGCAAUUUUUCCUGUAAUGGUUUUUUGUUUAAAUGUUUUUUCGCCUAAGGAUGGGUCUGCGGCCGAUUAGGUAGUUGGUUAGGUAAUGGCUUACCAAGCCGUUGAUCGGUACGGGUUGUGAGAGCAAGAGCCCGGAGAUGGAACCUGAGACAAGGUUCCAGGCCCUACGGGGUGCAGCAGGCGCGAAACCUCCGCAAUGUGAGAAAUCGCGACGGGGGGAUCCCAAGUGCCAUUCUUAACGGGAUGGCUUUUCAUUAGUGUAAAGAGCUUUUGGAAUAAGGGCUGAGCAAGACCGGUGCCAGCCGCCGCGGUAACACCGGCAGCUCUAGUGGUAGCAGUUUUUAUUGGGCCUAAAGCGUCCGUAGCCGGUUUAAUAAGUCUCUGGUGAAAUCCUGUAGCUUAACUGUGGGAAUUGCUGGAGAUACUAUUAGACUUGAGACCGGGAGAGGUUAGAGGUACUCCCAGGGUAGAGGUGAAAUUCUGUAAUCCUGGGAGGACCGCCUGUUGCGAAGGCGUCUAACUGGAACGGUUCUGACGGUGAGGGACGAAAGUUAGGGGCGCGAACCGGAUUAGAUACCCGGGUAGUCCUAACUGUAAACGAUGCGGACUUGGUGUUGGGGUGGCUUUGAGCUGCUCCAGUGCCGAAGGGAAGCUGUUAAGUCCGCCGCCUGGGAAGUACGGUCGCAAGACUGAAACUUAA